UACGGAGGGUGCGAGCGUUGUCCGGAAUCACUGGGCGUAAAGGGCGCGUAGGCGGUGGCUUAAGCGUGCGGUGAAAGCCCGGGGCUCAACCCCGGGUCGGCCGUGCGGACUGGGUCACUCGAGCACUGUAGGGGCGGGUGGAAUUCCGGGUGUAGCGGUGGAAUGCGUAGAGAUCCGGAAGAACACCGGUGGCGAAGGCGGCCCGCUGGGCAGUGGCUGACGCUGAGGCGCGACAGCGUGGGGAGCAAACAGG
rnacentral:rRNA from 1 species